rnacentral:lncRNA from 1 species
GUAGUCUACAGGUCAGGUCAGUGGUAGUUCAGUAGGCUACAGGCCAGGUCAGGUCAGUGGUAGUUCAGUAGGCUACAGGCCAGGUCAGUGGUAGUUCUGUAGGCUACAGGCCAGGUCAGUGGUAGUUCAGUAGGCUACAGGCCAGGUCAGUGGUAGUUCAGUAGGCUACAGGCCAGGCCAGUGGUAGUUCAGUAGGCUACAGGCCAGGUCAGUGGUAGUUCAGUAGGCUACAGGCCAGGCCAGGUCAGUGGUAGUUCAGUAGGCUACAGGUCAGGUCAGUGGUAGUUCUGUAGGCUACAGGCCAGGCCAGGUCAGUGGUAGUUCAGUAGGCUACAGGCCAGGUCAGGUCAGUGGUAGUUCAGUAGGCUACAGGCCAGGCCAGGUCAGUGGUAGUUCAGUAGGCUACAGGCCAGGUCAGGUCAGUGGUAGUUCUGUAGGCUACAGGCCAGGCCAGUGGUAGUUCUGUAGACUACAGGCCAGGCCAGGUCAGUGGUAGUUCAGUAGGCUACAGGCCAGGCCAGGUCAGUGGUAGUUCAGUAGGCUACAGGCCAGGUCAGGUCAGUGGUAGUUCUGUAGGCUACAGGCCAGGCAAGUGGUAGUUGAGUAGGCUACAGGUCAGGUCAGUGGUAGUUCAGUAGACUACAGGCCAGGCCAGGUCAGUGGUAGUUCAGUAGGCUACAGGCCAGGUCAGGUCAGUGGUAGUUCUGUAGGCUACAGGCCAGGCCAGUGGUAGUUCAGUAGGCUACAGGCCAGGCCAGGUCAGUGGUAGUUCAGUAGGCUACAGGCCAGGCCAGGUCAGUGGUAGUUCAGUGGGCUACAGGCCAGGUCAGGUCAGUGGUAGUUCUGUAGGCUACAGGCCAGGCCAGUGGUAGUUCAGUAGACUACAGGCCAGGCCAGUGGUAGUUCAGUAGGACAAGGCUGGCACCCUAUUCCCUGUAUACAGUAGUGCAGUACUUUGGACAAUGCUCGCACACUAUUCUCAAUGUCUCUGGUAUAAAGUUGAGGAUUUUUAGGUAACAAGAUACCUUUGAG